rnacentral:rRNA from 1 species
UACAGAGGGGGCAAGCGUUAUUCGGAAUUAUUAGGCGUAAAGAGCUCGUAGGCGGUUUGUCGCGUCUGCCGUGAAAGUCCGGGGCUCAACUCCGGAUCUGCGGUGGGUACGGGCAGACUAGAGUGUGGUAGGGGAGACUGGAAUUCCUGGUGUAGCGGUGAAAUGCGCAGAUAUCAGGAGGAACACCGAUGGCGAAGGCAGGUCUCUGGGCCACUACUGACGCUGAGAAGCGAAAGCAUGGGGAGCGAACAGG